GUGAAUCAUCGAAUCUUUGAACGCACAUUGCGCCCCCUGGUAUUCCGGGGGGCAUGCCUGUUCGAGCGUCAUUACACCACUCCAGC
rnacentral:rRNA from 2 species